rnacentral:rRNA from 1 species
GAUGAACGCUGACAGAAUGCUUAACACAUGCAAGUCUUUGGCGAAGCUGUGCUUGCACAGCCUAGCCAAGGCGGACGGGUGAGUAACGCGUAAGGAACUUGCCCUGCAGUCAGGGAUAACAGACGGAAACGACUGAUAAGACCUGGUAAAGUCAGGCGGACUCAUGUCCAGCCUGAUGAAAAGAGAUGCUGCAGGAGAGCCUUGCGUCCUAUUAGCUUGUUGGUGGGGUAACGGCCCACCAAGGCGAUGAUAGGUAGCCGGCCUGAGAGGGUGGACGGCCACAAGGGGACUGAGAUACGGCCCUUACUCCUACGGGAGGCAGCAGUGGGGAAUAUUGGACAAUGGGGGCAACCCUGAUCCAGCAAUUCUGUGUGCACGAUGAAGGUUUUCGGAUUGUAAAGUGCUUUCAGCAGGGAAGAAAAAAUGACGGUACCUGCAGAAGAGGCGACGGCUAAAUACG